UUUUUAGUCCUUAUAAAUAUGUCAACUUUUCGUUUUAGUCUCUCUAAAAAUUUUCUUCAACUUUUAGUCCCUAUAAAAUUUUCAAUCUUCACUUUUGGUCCCUCUUUUAAAGUAAACUCAUAUGUAGAAUUCAUAUUUUUUAAUAAAAAUUUUCAUAAACAAUCAAAAUAUUAUAAGAAUAACUCCAAAAAAAAUUUAGAAUUUUUUAACAAAAUAUGAAUUUAAUAUGAAUUUAUAUAUUUUUUACGGUUAAAAAUUCAUAUUUAAUUUAUGUUUUGUUAAAAGUUCUAAUUUUUUUUUUUAGGAAUUUAUUUUAGAAUAUUGUACAUAUUUUUACGCAAUUUCAUUAAAAAAUACAAAAAUUAAAUUAAAAAUAGGGACCAAAAGUAAUGAUUAAAAAUUUUAUAUAAACUAAAAGUUGAAAGAAUAUUUUAGAGAGAUUAAAACAAAAAGUUGGUAUAUUUAUAAGGACUAAAAAUAUAUUUAACUCAAUAUUAAAUGCAACAAUUAUUUUAAGAUGGAUGGUAUAUUUUUAGGGAAUAAAGUGAAUUAAUUAAAUAUAGAGAUAAGGGAGAUUUUGAGAUAAGGAACGUUGUGCCAUGCUCUUUUAAUCUCAUCUCUUUCUUUUUAUAAUAAUCCGUUUGAUUUGUUAAGUUUGGCGCGCGUCUCCCCCUAUUAUGGUAAGCCAAUGCAAUAAUGGUGAAAUAUUAAUUGGGCUUUACGUGUGGGUCCCAUAUUUUUAGCUUAUGGAUAGGAUCACCAUGUAAGCUCCCUUUCAAUCGCGCGUCAUCAUGAAGUUAUUAUCCCCUUCUUUACUUUGUUUCUUUUUCGUAACAAAAAUUGUUCAUUUGUACUUUUUUAACUGAAAUAGGAUUUUUAAGGCGGUAACCAUGGGGACACACUUGCCUAAAGUAUUAUCUUGAACUACAAGUUUAUCUAUAAUAACUUCUAGAGUAGCUUACUAAUUGAAUUUGAUAGACAUGGUUGAAUAUGAAUUUGGAUUUAAGGCAAAUAGUCUAAAUUCAAUCCGUAAAGCAAGAACUUUAAGCUAAAAAUACUUCAUCUGAUCACAUUUAUAGAAAGAAUUAUUUUUAUUAGAUUUGUUGAAUAAAUGUAUUCAGUUUAUAUAUAAGUCUAAACAGUUUUGUUACAAAAAAAAACAGUUUUGUUAAAAAAAAAAGAUUAAAUUAUUGUUUUUUAUUUAUAAAUGUGAUCGGAGAUAGUAUGUUGCUUUUUCAUUGUAUAUUUAAACUUCAGAAAAAUAAAUAUAUUUGAUUAUAACAUGUAAAAUGUUUGACAACCGUAAGUAACUAUACAACAAUGGACAUCUCCAUCUUCUAUUUAGUAUUUGAUUAACACACUCUUACUAAUUUAGCUAAAUCGAAUGGUCCAUAUUCGGUUUGCAUCAAAAUUAUGGGGCCAUCUUAAUUAUUUAAAGCUACGUAGUAGACACAUCAAGCUCAACAAUAAUGGAAUUAGCUUGAAUUCAUGAUGAUGAUAAAAAUAAUAAACUUUUUAAAUUAAUCAUUUAGAAAAGUUAAGAAUUAAUUUAAUGUUAGCUAUUUCCAGGAUAGAAUUUGGCGAGCCACACGGUUCAUGAGUUUAUGUUUAUCAUCAUCUGGCAAUGGUAGGAUCUUCAUGAUAAGUAUAGUUGUGAUUCAAUUGCCCACUUGAUAACGAUAAGGGAUCUCAAAACAAUCACGUAAAAGAAAAGCAGCACAAUCGGGUCCCAGCGUUAAAGCAGAGACGAGGGAUCCUUAAAUAGCAUAUUCCACAAAGAGACAGGUCACAUGAUCAAGUUGUGAAAUAUAUGAAUAUGCAUAAAAAUAAUAUCUUAGCAAUCAAGAGGGAUAGAGUUUGUUACGCUAACAGCUAUAACUUGUUGCUCAUUUCAUUGAUUGAAAAUGUCUUUAUUCUAAGAAGCUUUCUUUUUAGGCCUCUUAAUGUUUUUAAGUCUCCUAUAUUUUCGUUUUUACCCCUAAUCUAUACACCUUGCAGAUAUCUUCCAAAGCGUUUUCUUUUAGUUGAUUCCGGUAGAUAAGUAUAGAAGGAUUUGGGUGUUAUCUUCUAAAGGAAUGUCUAUUUACAUAUGGUUAAUAUAUUUCAUUGGAUUAAAAGAAAUAAUUUUAAAAAUUCAUUUUUUAAAUAUAAGCAAAUUUUGUUUAUAUUUAAAAAUGGAGAGAAUAACGGAUAAUUGAGAUAGUUGGGAUUAAAUUUCAUUACCACUCGGGCUUAGGCCACUUCGUUUCCCAAGAAAAAAAUUGCAUUACCACUUUCUAAUGUACUCUGUAGUUUAUAACAAUUUAUGUACUCUCUGUAAACCAUUAGUCUAAGUCUUAAAAGUCAAUAACAGUUUAUGUACGUUCGUAAUUGUUUCUUCAGUGCUUUGUGCCUACUGCCUAAUAUGUUGUUGACUCAACGAAACCAUAGAGAAGCUGAUAUUUCAAACUACAACUAGUGUUUUUUACCAUAGAAAGGUUUCUCUAAAAAAAAAAAAGUUAAAUAUGUUUUUGGUCCCUAUAAAUAUACUAACUUUUCGUUUUAGUCCCUUUAAAAUUUUCCUUCAACUUUUAGUUCCUAUAAAAUUUUCAAUCUUGACUUUUGAUCCCUCGUUUAAAGUAAACUCAUAUGUAGUAUUCAUAUUUUUAGAUAAAAUUUUGCAGAAAAAUGUAUAAUAUUAUAAGGAUCACUUCCAAAAAAAAUUAGAAUUUUUUACCAAAAUAUGAAUUAAAUAUGAAUUUUUAUAUUUUUGGCGGUAAAAAAUUCAUAUUUAAUUCAUGUUUUGUUAAAAAAUUCUAAUUUUUUUUUUGGAGUGAUUUUUACAAUAUUCCAUACAUUUCUGCAUAAUUUCAUUAAAAAUACAAAAAUUUACUUAAAAAUAAGGAUCAAAAGUAGUGAUUGAAAAUUUUAUAAAGACUAAAAGUUGAAGGAAAAUUUUAGAGGGAC
rnacentral:lncRNA from 1 species